AUGAUCAGCACUGAUCAGUUCUGGGUGACACAUGCCAAACCAUUGAAAGAGAUCUUCUCCACUCUGUAUCCUGAAUCAGGUGCUGAGGAAGAGGUGGAGACCUUUGCCUUUCAGGCAGAAAUUGCCCACCUCAUGUCCCUCAUCAUCAAUACUUUCUAUUCAAACACGGAGCUUUUCCUCUGAGAGUUGAUCUCUAAUGCUUCAGAUGCCCUGGACAAGAUUCGGUAUGAGAACCUGACUGACCCUUCCAAGUGGGAGAGAGAUGAAAAGUGACAUCAUCCCCAGCCCUCAGGAGCACACACUGACUUUGGUGGACACCGGCAUUGGCGUGACCAAGGCUAAUCUCAUUAAUAAUUUGGGAACCAUUGCUAAGUCUGGCACAAAAGCAUUCAUGGAGGCUCUCAAAGCUGGUGCAGACAUCUCCAUGAUUGGUCAGUUUGGUGUUAGAUUCUACUCAGCCUAUCUAGUGGCAAAGAAAGUGGUUGUGAUCACACAGCACAAUGAUAAUGAGCAGUAUGUCAGGGAGUCUUCUGCUGGUGAAUCCUUCACCCCCCUUGCAGACCAUGGUGAGCCCAUUGGCCAGAAUACGAAAGUAAUCCUUCAUCUCAAAGAAAACCAGACAGAGUACUUAGAGGACAGGAGGGUCAAGGAAGUGGUGAAAAAACAUUCACAGUUCCUAGGCUAUCCCAUCACCCUCUAUUUGGAGAAGGAACGGGAGAUCAGUGAUGGUGAGGCAGAGGAAGAGAAAGGUGAGAAAGAGGAGGAAAAUAAGGAGGAUGAGGAGAAGCUUAAUAUUAAAGAUGUGGGAUCUGAUGAGGAAGAUGACAGCUGCAAAGACAAGAAAAAGAAAACAAGGAAGUUCAAGGAGAAGUACAUUGACCAGGAACACCUAUACAAGACAAAUCCUAUCUGGACCAGAAAUCCUGAUGACAUCACUCAAGAGGAGUAUGGUGAAUUCUAUAAGAACCUCACCAAUGAUUCGGAGGACCACUUGACAGUCAAGCACUUUUCUGUAGAAGGUCAGUUGGACUUCAGGGCAUUGCUCUUCUUUCCCCAGCAAGCUCCCUUUGACCUUUUUGAGAACAACAAAAAGAAGAAAAACAUCAAAAUGUAUGUCCAUCAUGUGUUCAUCAUGGACAGCUGUGAUGAGCUGAUACCUGAGUACCUCAACUUUAAAACAACUUCCAACCCAAAUGAAGUUGUGGUUCCUGGAGAUCUCUUUGGGGGCUUUGCAUUCUGGGCACAGGAAGACAAGGGGAUGAGUCCUAAUAAUGUUUCUAAGAAUUAG